AGAUUGAACGCUGGCGGAAUGCUUUACACAUGCAAGUCGAACGGCAGCACGGGGGCAACUCUGGUGGCGAGUGGCGAACGGGUGAGUAACAUAUCGGAACGUACCCCGACGUGGGGGAUAACUCUCCGAAGGGAGAGCUAAUACCGCAUACGACCUGAGGGUGAAAGCGGGGGACCUGCAAGGGCCUCGCGCGAUGGGAGCGGCCGAUAUCGGAUUAGCUAGUUGGUGAGGUAAAGGCUCACCGAGGCGACGAUCCGUAGCGGGUCUGAGAGGACGACCCGCCACACUGGAACUGAGACACGGUCCAGACUCCGUACGGGAGCAGCA
rnacentral:rRNA from 1 species